rnacentral:rRNA from 1 species
AGUGGCGGACGGGUGAGUAACGCGUGGGUAACCUGCCUCAUACAGGGGGAUAACAGUCGGAAACGAUUGCUAAAACCGCAUAAUAUAGCGAAACCGCAUGAUUUUGCUAUCAAAUAUUUAUAGGUAUGAGAUGGGCCCGCGUCUGAUUAGCUAGUUGGUGGGGUAAUGGCCUACCAAGGCGACGAUCAGUAGCCGGCUUGAGAGAGUGACCGGCCACAUUGGGACUGAGACACGGCAAUGACUNCUNCGGGAGGCAGCAGUGGGGAAUAUUGGACAAUGGGGGAAACCCNGAUCCAGCGACGCCGCGUGAGUGAAGAAGUAUUUCGGUAUGUAAAGCUCUAUCAGCAGGGAAGAUAAUGACAGUACCUGACUAAGAAGCCCCGGCUAACUACGUGCCAGCAGCCGCGGUUUAGCCACAUACGUAAGCGUUAUCCGGAUUUACUGGGUGUAAAGGGAGCGUAGGUGGUAGGUCAAGUCAGAUGUGAAAGNCCAGGGCUCAACCCUGGCUGCAUUUGAAACUGGCUNACUAGAGUGCAGGAGAGGUAAGUGGAAUUCCUAUGGUGUAGCGGUGAAAUGCGUAGAUANUAGGAGGAACACCAGUGGCGAAGGCGGCNNACUGGACUGUAACUGACACUGAGGCUCGGCGUGGGGAGCAAACAGGAUUAGAUACCCUGGUAGUCCNCGCCGUAAACGAUGAAUACUAGCUGUUCGGGGUCNGCANACAGGGCUUCGGUGGCGCACGUAACGCAAUAAGUAUUCCACCUGGGGNGUACGUUCGCAAGAAUGAAACUCAAAGGAAUUGACGGGGACGCACAAGCGGUGGAGCAUGUGGUUUAAUUCGAAAAAUCACGCGAAGAACCUUACCAAGUCUUGACAUCCCUCUGACAACCGAGUAACGUCGGUUCUUCGGGCAGAGGNGACAGGUGGUGCAUGGUUGUCGUCAGCUCGUGUCGUGAGGCAAUGUUGGGUUAAGUCCCGCAACGAGCGCAACCCCUAUCUUUAGUAGCCAGCAGUUCGGCUGCACUCUAGAGAGACUGCAUCAGGGAUAACCUGGAGGAAGGCGGGGAUGACGUAAUCAUCAUGCCCCAUGAUUUGGGCUACACACGUGCGUGAGGUGGCAGUCGGCUUAAGUGCCAUAACGAGCGCAACCCUUAUUACAAUGGUGACUACAAAGAGAAGCAAGCCUGCNNGGGGGAGCAAAUCUCAAAAAGGUCAUCCCAGUUCGGAUUGUACUCUGGUGUAGCGGUGAAAUGCGUAGAUAUUAGGAGCAACUCGAGUACAUGAAGCUGGAAUCGCUAGUAAUCGCGAAUCAGAAUGUCGCGGUGAAUUUCGAAGUUCGAAGACGUUCCCGGGUCUUGUACACACCGYYCGUCACUCCAUGGGAGUAGGUAACGCCCGAAGUCAGUGACCYAACCGUAAGGAGGGAGCUGCCGAAGGCGGGAUCUAUAACUG